UUAGUAUCUCUUGUUCAAAGUUCUCAAGUACAUUUUAUGUUUUCUUGCAGCUGAGAUAGCUUGGCAUCAAAUGAGAAAAGAAUGGGUUGGUAAUCGAUCCAAAAAAUUGGAAAGACCUCCUAAAGAUUCAAUUGUGAGCUUAACAACAAGUUAUGAGGAUCUACUUUUGUCCACAGCGCCUUUUCAACAGCCAAUAUCAUUAACUGAGAUGGUUGAUUUUUUAGUAGAUUUUUGGCACGAAGAAGGUCUCUAUGAUUAAAUUUCAUAUUAUUAUUGUAAGCUUCGGUAAGAAUCUUGCACGGUUUUGUUUGUAAUUGUGCUGAUUGUUGCUGAGGCAAACAAGUUUUGGACAAGUUCGUGGAAGAUCCCCAUACCAUUGGAUUGAUUAUUAUGAUAGUAAAGUUUAUUCUCUUGAUAACAAAAA